rnacentral:rRNA from 1 species
UUGGAGGGCAAGUCUGGUGCCAGCAGCCGCGGUAAUUCCAGCUCCAAUAGCGUAUAUUAAAGUUGUUGCAGUUAAAAAGCUCGUAGUUGAAUUUCGGGACCAAUUUGUUGGUCGUGCCUCGGUACGUACUAGUAUUAUUGGUUUCUACCUUCUGAAGAACCUUGAUGUCAUUAAUUUGGUGUCUUGGGGAAUCAGGACUGUUACUUUGAAAAAAUUAGAGUGUUUAAAGCAAGCAUACGCUUGAAUACAUUAGCAUGGAAUAAUGAAAUAGGACGUUUGAUUCUAUUUUGUUGGUUUCUAGGAUCGACGUAAUGAUUAAUAGGGAUAGUUGGGGGCAUUAGUAUUCAAUUGUCAGAGGUGAAAUUCUUGGAUUUAUUGAAGACUAACUACUGCGAAAGCAUCUGCCAAGGAUGUUUUCAUUAAUCAAGAACGAAAGUUAGGGGAUCGAAGACGAUCAGAUACCGUCGUAGUCUUAACCAUAAACUAUGCCGACUAGGGAUCGGAUGAUGUUAAUUUUUUAAUGACUCAUUCGGCGCCUUACGGGAAACCAAAGUGUUUGGGUUC